rnacentral:rRNA from 1 species
UGUCGACCGAGCUGUUGCUGGCCCUCGAAAGGGGGCACGUGCACGCUCUGUUUACACAUCCACUCACACCUGUGCACCCUCUGUAGUUCUAUGGCCUCGGGGACCCCGUCCCCUUGCUGUGGCCCUACGUCUUUACACACACACCGUAACAAAGUCUCAUGGAAUGUAUGCCGCGUUUAACGCAAUACAAUACAACUUUCAGCAACGGAUCUCUUGGCUCUCGCAUCGAUGAAGAACGCAGCGAAAUGCGAUAAGUAAUGUGAAUUGCAGAAUUCAGUGAAUCAUCGAAUCUUUGAACGCACCUUGCGCCCUUUGGCUAUUCCGAAGGGCAUGCCUGUUUGAGUAUCAUGAACACCUCAACUCUCGUGGUCUGCCACGAUGAGCUUGGACUUUGGGGGUCUUGCCGGCCCAGUGUCGGCUCCUCUCAAAUGGAUCAGCUUGCCGGUGUUUGGCGGCGUCACAGGUGUGAUAACUAUCUACGCUUGUGGUUUUCUGCCAUGUAACCUUCAGCGAUGGAGGUUCGCUGGAGCUCACAGAUGUCUCUCCUCGGGGAGGACAGCUUUUUGAACGUUUGAUCUCAAAUCAGGUAGGACUACCCGCUGAACUUAAGCAUA